rnacentral:piRNA from 1 species
UGCAACUAGAUGGACUUGCUUGGAUGUUACU